UACGUAGGGGGCUAGCGUUGUCCGGAUUUAUUGGGCGUAAAGAGCGUGUAGGCGGCCAGGUAGGUCUGGUGUGAAAACUCGAGGCUUAACCUCGAGAUGUCAUCGGAAACCAUCUGGCUAGAGUCCGGAAGAGGAGAGUGGAAUUCCUGGUGUAGCGGUGAAAUGCGCAGAUAUCAGGAGGAACACCGGUGGCGAAGGCGGGUCUCUGGACCGAUACUGACGCUGAGGAGCGAAAGCGUGGGGAGCGAACAGG
rnacentral:rRNA from 1 species